AUGAUGCUGUUGUGGCUGUUGGCAGGAAGCUUCCUCACAUUUUCAGUUUAAAUGCAUUCCUCCUGAUCUUUCCAAAAGACGGAGGCAGAACAGCUGGUUGCCAUACUCCGCAUAAAGUCCUUUGGGUAAAUUGAAGGCAUUUAGUGCUAUAAAUUUCCCUCUACACACAGAAAUACAAACUACCAUCAGAGAAUACUACAAACACCUCUACGCAAAUAAACUAGAAAAUCUAGAAGAAAUGGAUACAUUCCUCGACACAUACACUCUCCCAAGACUAAACCAGGAAGAAGUUGAAUCUCUGAAUCGACCAAUAACAGGCUCUGAAAUUGUGGCAAUAAUCAAUAGUUUACCAACCAAAAAGAGUCCAGGACCAGAUGGAUUCACAGCCGAAUUCUACCAGAGGUACAAGGAGGAACUGGUACCAUUCCUUCUGAAACUAUUCCAAUCAAUAGAAAAAGAGGGAAUCCUCCCUAACUCAUUUUAUGAGGCCAGCAUCAUUCUGAUACCAAAGCCGGGCAGAGACACAACCAAAAAAGAGAAUUUUAGACCAAUAUCCUUGA
rnacentral:lncRNA from 1 species